GGAGUUAGCCGGUUGCUUCUUCUGCGAGUAACGUCACAGAUGUAAGGUAUUAACUUACACCCUUUCCUCCUCGCUGAAAGUGCUUUACAACCCGAAGGCCUUCUUCACACACGCGGCAUGGCUGCAUCAGGGUUUCCCCCAUUGUGCAAUAUUCCCCACUGCUGCCUCCCGUAGGAGUCUGGGCCGUGUCUCAGUCCCAGUGUGGCUGAUCAUCCUCUCAGACCAGCUAGGGAUCGUCGCCUAGGUGAGCCUUUACCUCACCUACUAGCUAAUCCCACCUGGGCUUAUCCAUCAGCGCAAGGCCCGAAGGUCCCCUGCUUUCCCCCGUAGGGCGUAUGCGGUAUUAGCAGUCGUUUCCAACUGUUAUCCCCCACAAAUGGGCAAAUUCCCAGGCAUUACUCACCCGUCCGCCGCUCGUCAUCUUCAAAAGCAAGCUUUUGAAAUGUUACCGCUCGACUUGCAUGUGUUAGGCCUGCCGCCAGCGUUCAAUCUGAGCCAUAAUCAAACUCUGA
rnacentral:rRNA from 1 species